ACUAACAUCUUUGCCUUUUAACGUUUUAAGGAGAUCUUUUGCGGCAGAUUUGACCAAUGCAAUACUUAAUUUCUGCUUCCAUAGGCGGUGAUUGUGAGUCUAAGUAAAAUGAAAAUCCUUGACAACUUCAAUCUUCUCUCCAUUUAUCAUGAUAUUGCUUAUUGGUCCAGUUAUGCAGAUUUUUGUUUUAUUUAUGUUGAGAUGUAAUCCAUACUGAAGGCUAUUUUUUUUCCAGAGAGGAAACUAAUUUUUAAUAAGCACCUAGUACCUAAUAAGUGCUUAGUAAAAAUUGGAAACCCUGGUGGUGUAGUGGUUAAGAGCUAUGGCUGCUAACCAAAAGGUUAGCAGUUCAAAUCUACCAGGUGCUUCUUGGAAGCCAUAUGGGGAAGUUCUACUCUGUCCUUUAGGGUUGCUAUGAGUCGGAAUCCACUCGAUGGCAAGGGGUUUGUUUGUGUGGGUUAAUAAAAAUUAGUUUCCUCUCUGAAAAAAAGUUCUUUGCCCCCAAAACAAUCUAAAUCAGAGAGCUAAAUGCUAUCUCCUGGGCAAGUACCCCAAAAGAAAGGGAUGGGGUCAAGGGGUGGGUGGGAUUCCUAACCCAGGUCAGGCUAGAGGGAAGCUAGGAGAAGGCUGAUGAACCCAUGCCGCAGUCAGCAAGUCCCCCACCCUGUUCCUCCUCUUCUACUUCCUCCUCCCACAGUCUCCACAGAGCCGACUUCUCCCCUUCCGCUUCCCCGCCCCCCCAGAGUCUCUUCUAGAAACUCAGCCCAUUACCGCCCCCAUGGGGAGUCUGGCUGUUUCCAGCCUGCAGGGAGCUCUAAGCCCCAAUCAACUGAAAACCCUGAGGUCAAAGAGCAAAUUUGUCACCGUCACUAGCCUUCUUCUUGAGAGUAACAUUAAAAACAGGGAUCCAGCAAUUGAAUUGAGAUGAUGCUUUGAGUUUUUCAGCCUCUUAUUUCCCUACUCAUAUCAUCUUUAUAAAUAAUGGGUGCCACAAUAAAAAUGGAUGUUUUCCCUCCCGUUACUUAAAUACACAGAAACUUGAAAGAAAGGCUAAGGAUACGUCUACCACCUCUGCAUACGAGUUUAACCAAGACAACCUGCUGCUCUUGGUAAUAGAUGGUUGACCCUGGUUUCUAAACACAUGCUUCCUUUUUCAAUUAAUUUUCCUCCUCCUCACAAGACGAAACAGACAUUUUGGUAAACAAACAAUAUCCCUUUAACUGUCUACUUGUUUUAAAUUCUGAGAGUCAGAGUUUAAGACUGGCGUCCUUUUCCAGAGGAAUUAAAAAGGAGUGCUGAAUCUUUGGAAAACCAACAAAAGGCCCAAAGAAAGGGAAACCCAACCAAAACCAGUUGCCCUUGAGUCAAUUCUGACUCAUGGCGACCCAUGUGUUACAGAGUAGAACUGCGCUCCACAAGGCUUUCCAGGCUGUGACCUUGACCAAAGCAGAUCACCAGGCCCUUCUUCCAAGGUGCCUCUAGUGGGUUUCAAACCGCCAGUCUUUGGAUUACUAGUCAAGCAGUUAACCAUCUGCACCACCAGGAACUCUUUUUGAUAAAAGAAAACAAAAAAUGCCUUUGGUGUCUAUUAGUGAAUAAAGCAACUGAGGACUGCAGCUUCGGGAGUUUUAAAAACAAGCAUAGCUAAAGAUUUCUCACAAGCACGCGCAUACACAAAAAACACCUCGAACUGAUAAACUUGGGGGGCUGUGUGCCUGUUUCAAAUCAGUGAUGUGCUUAUCUAAAAAGGCAUACCCUAUCCAAAGGAAAAUGAAACAGUGAAGGUAUUUGAAAAAAAAACAUUGCCAUUGAGUCGAUUCUGACUUACAGCGAUCUUACAGGUCAGAGCAGAACUGCCCCAUAGGGUAUCCCAGGGUGAACUCUUUAUGGAAACAGACUGCCACAUCUUUCUCCCUUGGAAAAACCAACCUUUUGGUUAGCAGCCGAGCACUUAACCACUGUGCCACUAGGGCUCCUUAAGUGAAGGUGUGACCCAGUACCCAGUGCCGUCGAGUCGAUUCUGACUCAUAGCGACCCUAUAGGACAGAGUAGAACCGCCCCACAGAGUUUCCAAGUGAAGGUGUAGUAUGAUUAUUUUUCAAAUAAACAGGAGCUACCGAAUUACACAUUUCAAAAUAGUGAAAACAGCAGAUUUUAUGUUAUAUAUAUUUCACCACAACAAAAAAUUGACAAUAACAACUAGAGAGGUUAGACAGGAAGCUUAGAGGGUACUGACUUUAUGUUAACGGGGGAGGAACAAUUUGGAAAAGGACAGGGAGAUCCAUUGCGCAACUUGCAGAAUGUAAUCAAUGUCACUGAAUUGUACACAGAUAACCUGUGGAAUCGGUGUAUACUCUGCUUCAUCUAUUUUCAACAACAACAAAAAUAAAUUAAAAAAAAAGUAGAUGUAAACCCUAGAAGAAAAUGUAUAAAAAUGCCCGUCAUGAUAAUGUAAGGGUGGAAGGGUGACAGGCAAUUACAUAUCUUUUGCAAGUGAUAUGCAAUGUUAUUAAAGUCUGCUUACAAUGAAACAUAUAUAUACUUUUUUUACUGUGCUUUAGAUGAAGGCUUACAGAGCUCAUUAGUUUCUUAUUAUAUGUAUAAUUUUUAAAUUAUGCAUAUAAUUUUUAAAUUAUACAUUCUUAUGGAAUGUUCUCCCUUGGAGUAAGGAAUAAGUGUAUUUCUUACCUGCUAGGAGGAAAAACUUAAGAACAAAAAGUUAAAUUCUGCUUACCUGAGGUUUAACUUUCGAUCAUCAUCACUGCCAGCCUCCAGCUACGGAGAAAAGAAAGAGAAUGUCACACCACAGACACCCGUCUCGACAACUCCAGGACACAAGUGUCAUGUUUUCUGUUCUGGUGCCCGAGAAAGAUAAAGAUGUCCCGGAAACCUGGCUAUUUCUCAGCAGCCAUGCCCUUUCCUUACCAAUCCUGGUCUGCCGCUCCUCUGAGUAAUUUCCUUGGAGGAAUUUUUCAGGUUCCCCAAUGUUUCCCCACAUUCCUGCCACAGUAGAGGGAAUUGAUCCUUGUAACUUAACAUUUCCUAUCUGGCAUUGUUACUCACAGACUCUUUGAGCCCACAGGUCUCAACUUUCCAGAGUUGUUCUGGAUCUUAUCCUGUUUUUUUCUUUUUUAAGGGGAGGGGAAAGUAUUUGAAAAGAAUCCAUUUUCUCCUGCAAGCCAGGCAAGAGCUAAGUGAUCAUCAUCAUAUAUUUGGAAAAAAAAAAAGAUUCCAGGCAAGUCUGCCACCAUGGAAGGUGGCCAGGGUCCAACGGUCUGUCUGUGGAUCUCAAAAGCUUUUGGUGGUUUGCAAACAGGCUUAAAUGUUUAAUAUGAACCUUUCCAGGCAAUGGCUUUAUUUGUAUAAAUGAAAGUAAGGGACAUUUAAUAUUUUCUAAAAGCUAAAAGACCAAGAGGUUAGACUCCAAAAGUAGCUGCAACUUAAGCCCCGAUAGCGAUUUUUCUUUAUUAUUUUUCCUUUCCGAGAGAAAAGUGAAAUAGAAGAGAACACACACACACCCCAAAUAACUCUGCACCGCUGGGACUUGGCAUGUUUUGUAUGUUACACAGAGGCGCCCACUGAGCAGGAACGAGAAACCUGGAAAGCAGCGAUGGCUAGGAGAGAUGCAAGGCUGACCGAGGACAGAAAUGAGACAGAAGCCAACGGUGAUGGGAAAAGGACACGGAACUCAUGCCAGGAGGGACCUGGGCAGCAAGGACACAUACCAGGAGGUGGCAAUUUCAUCAAAGGGGGCGUAACUAAAGAGGCCUAGAGUUCCUGAAGUUUAUUAAGAUGAUGUAGGUGCAGGAGUCCCUGGGUGGCACAAACGGUUAAACGCUGGACUACUAGCUAAAAGGUUGGUAGUUCGAACCCACUGAGAGGUGCAUCAAAAGAAAGUCCUGGAGAUCUGCUUCCAAAAGGUCUCAGCCUUGAAAACGUCACGGAGCACAGUUCUACGGGGCACGCGUGGGGUCUCCAUGAGGCGGAGCUGACUCCAUGGUAACCAACGGUGUGAGUCUAGCAUUAUGCAGAGGCACACAGCUGGUAGCUACUUAGUUCCCACUUUCCCCACCCACACUGAAGGGGAAGUGGGAAAACCCGGGAAAGUUUUGCUAGCUAUAGGGCCAGGACCUUCGAUUCUGGAGUGAAACAUAAAACAAAACAAUACACACGACAACAACCUCUAAGUGAACGUUGGGUCCAACCCUGUAGUUCCCAGCCAGGGGGGCAAGUUUGCCUCCCAGGAGACUCUCUCUGGGCAAUGUCUGGAGACAUUUUGGGGGGACUGAUACUGGCACCUAGUGGGUAGGGCCCGCUAAGCAUCCUCCAAUACACAUGACCGCUCCUGACAAAAGAGAACUUUCCAGCCUCCAAUGUCAGCAGUGCUGAGGUUGAGAAACUCUGGUCCAACCCCAAAAAGUGCCUGGAGAUCUGCCCAUGAAAAUGAGUCACCUUGAAUGUUUGUCAAAAAUAACAAUGUUAUGAUCCAUUCCUGAAAAUUACUGAUGUAUCUCUUCUGUGCUCCGCCUAGUCUCACAAAGGAGCUCAGGUGGUUAACAGUAAAAUGACGUCAAUGAGAUUAAGGAUUGAAGAGGAAAAAUCAAAAGAGAGAGGUGCUUUACUCUUGUGGUGACUUCCCUGGGUUUCCCACGCCAUUUCCCAUGCUCAAGGCAUGUGUCCCCUCCUCCCAUUUGAGCUGAGACUCAGAGAGGCAACCUGAUUAAAGCCAGACCAGAGGCAGGGCCGGGCCAGGCCCCAGGUCUCCUGGUCCUACACACAGGCUCUUUCCCUUCUAUCUCACUUCAUGGCUCAACCCCGCCUGGAAGAAAGCCUCACCUUCCCGGGAACAUCCCAGGGUCCCUCAUUUGCUGAGCCCCUAAUGUUGACCAUCUCCUGAAGACAAUAAUGCAAGCAUCUUGGACUUCUGCGUGAGAAGAGCUGGCUGAGAGGCUCUCUGGACACCCCCUGCCUGAACCCAGGUUCUUCACCAUGUAUCACAAUUCUGUGCUGAGAACAUGAGGUUAAGUGCACGCACUGCUUUGCAAACUGCAAGACAGCAGUCAUAGGAAUGAUGCAAGAGAAGAGAUGCCGCUGUGGGGAGGAGAGAAGCUACUGCAAUCUAACUUCUCAGCUGCAGGCAACUCGCCACCAGUGUUCCUUUGCCUCUAGUCAGCGUGCAGAGAAGGAACUACUAGAACCUUCUGUCUACAGACAAGAUAACUCGUUAAUGGCCUCUCCCAGGAGAGGAGGGAGCUGCAGAGUUUCAACCUAACAGCCACUCUGCAAACAUUCCUGUCAGUCACAGCAAAAUGAGGCCAGGAGACAGCAGGACAGAUAGUGCUGCUCUAUCAAGUACACCUCUCCCUGCCACACACACACACACACACACACACACACAGACAUACACACAGCCACCCCUUUCUAGUGUUAUCAGUCAGCUUCCCCCCUCUCUCUCUCACAGGGAAAGAGCCUGUGCAGCCCAGAUGCUGGUGGGAUGACUUCCUGGGCCUUUGGGGCUCCUCCUCCAGCUGUUUGUCCCUGCUCCUGCUCUGAACCCAGUUAAUGAUCUCCUUUCCAGCUGCCCUCACCUCAGGCCAACACAGUCUGCUCAUGGGUUCCAGUUUAGACCGGAGAGGCCUUGAAGUCUUCUCCAAAAGCAGGUGUACAAGGGGGAGGCGCAGGAGGGUCAGCCCUGCCACUGCAGAGGGGUGACCUGCUCAGCGGCCCCAGAGGCCACAGCCUAGGUCAUUCCAGCUUGAUUCUGCAGAAUUAUCGUUGCUGCUGUUCUGUGCCAUUGAGUCUGUUCCAACUCAGAGUGACCGCAUGUGACAGGGUAGGACUGUCCCAUAUGAUUUUCUAAGCUACAGCCUUUAUGGAAGCAGAUCCCCAGGUCAAGUCUUUCUCCCUCAGAGCUGCUGGGUGGGAUCAAACCACCAACCUUUUGGUUAGCAGCCAAGCAUUCACUGGUAAAUACUAUACCACCAGGGCUCCUCAGAGGUAGGUGCCAAGCCCCCAAUCUGCCUCAGAGUAAAGGGACCCACCAAACACAAACCAGUACCAUCAAGGUGACUCUAACUCAUGAUGACCCCAUCUGUGUCAGAGUAGAACUGUGCUCCAUUGGAUUUUUAAUGGCUGGGUGGAUUCGAACCUCCAACCUUUACGUUAGUGGCUGAGAAAAUCAACUGUAUGCACUACCCAGGGACUUCCACAGGCAGACAGACCCACAGAAACCCACACCAGUGCAGAGAAAUGGAGAAUCAACUACAAUCAAGGGAUUCAUUCUCAGUCCCCAAAUGCACCCAUGAACCUCCAAAACCCCCAAAUCGGUCACAGCCACAUGGUCAGACGCACAUAAACAUACAGUCCUAAAUAUUACAAAAGGGAAAAGCCCAGACUCAGCCACACACCAACACAAGACACACGGUCACACAGCGUCCACAGCACACUCAGUCACUGUCACACAGUUACACAUCACCCAAGAAGCACAGCCACACACACAGCCAAAGCUCCAGCGGCACAGGGUCUCACACACUCAGGAACGACCACCUCACACACUCACAGUCACCCCUACCAGCCUCUCUCACAGCUCUCACAGCAUAACACAGCACCAUCUCCAGCAGAGAAGUCACAGAGUCACACACAAAGUCUCACAUACACACAUCAGGCAUGCAGGAGAGGGGGACAGAACAGUCACAGGGUCA